UUUCCGUAGGUGAACCUGCGGAAGGAUCAUUAUCGAGUUUUGACUGGGUUGUUGCUGGCCUUCCGAGGCAUGUGCACGCCCUCCUCAUCCACUCUACACCUGUGCACUUACUGUGGUCACGAGAGGGUGAAGCGUGCUCUUUUACCGGAGCUUGUGACGCGUGUCUGUGCCUGCGUUUAUCACAAACACUAUAUAGUAUCACAAUGUGUAUUACGAUGUAACACAUCUAUAUACAACUUUCAGCAACGGAUCUCUUGGCUCUG
rnacentral:misc_RNA from 1 species